rnacentral:lncRNA from 1 species
GAAAGUAAAAGGCAUAGCCUAAAAAUGACUCUAUAUUUCGCCUCUUCCCUCCAUCAGCUCUCGGAGCAUCCUUAAAAGUAAAGGCAUAGCCUCAAAAUGGCUCCAUAAUUCGGCUCUUUGCUCCAACAGCUCUUCGAGCGUCCAAUUUUUGAAGCGCCCCCCUGUGUGGCGUCUCAUUUGUGAGGUGUCCCGCCUAUGAGGCGCCCCGCCUGUGAGGCGUCUCGCUUAUGAGGCGUCCUUAAAUACAGCUCUUGGAGCGUUCUUAAUGGCUCUUUGAUUGUCCAAUUUAUGAAGCAUUCUCAAUUGCUCAUUGAGCGUCCAAUUCAUGAAGCAUCUUAAUACAGCUCUUAAAGCGUCAAGCUCAGCGAGCGUCCUUCAAAAUGGUAGACAAAGCCCUACAACGGGUCUCAGGUAUCACGCCUCCUCACUACAUUCUUUCACUAGCUCGGCGAGCGCCCUUUAAAUGGCAGGCAAAGCCCUACAACAGGUCUCAGGCAUUACGCCUCCUCACUACAUUCUUUCACUAGCUCGGCGAGCGCCCUUUAAAUGGCAGAUGACUUAGGACAUCAUUUGAGGCAGCUGUUGGACUUGCUCUAAGGCACGUUUGAUUUAAUUUUAAAAAAUAUUUCUUUUUUACGAGUAAAUCUUCUAUUUAAUAUUUAUAUAUAGAAAGAAUUUUUUUAUAUUUACAACUUAACAUAUAUAAAUAUUAUUAAUAUAAUAAUAAUAAUUAUAAUAAUACAAUAAGUUAUCUUCUAAAAGUGUCUUUUAUAUUUUUGUAAAAUCAAAUUAAUAAAAAAUAUAACAUUUCCAACUUCUCAAGACCAGAAAUGUAAAUUAAAAACUGUUAUAUAAAAUCUUUAUAAAAUAAUAUAAAUAAGAUGAUUAUACAUUGUGGAUCUAGAAACUGAGUUUUUAAUAUCCCGUCAAAUACCACCUAAGUAAUCCGGUUUAUAAAUUCAUUAAUUUUAUAUUAUACAUAUCAUAAAUAAUGGCUUUUUUCAUAACUGUCUAACUUCCUAAAUUUUUUUACAAAAAUAAUGUCGCAAACUUUCAAUAUUUUUAAAAAUACAAUUUUUUAUAAAUUAUUUACAAAAAACUUGCAGCUUCUGCAAUCUCAUUAGUAACAACAUUUUGCCAUGGUUGCAAACACAUGUUUCUAGCGAUUCACNUCUUAAUACAGCUCUUAAAGCGUCAAGCUCAGCGAGCGUCCUUCAAAAUGGUAGACAAAGCCCUACAACGGGUCUCAGGUAUCACGCCUCCUCACUACAUUCUUUCACUAGCUCGGCGAGCGCCCUUUAAAUGGCAGACAAAGCCCUACAACAGGUCUCAGGCAAAGCCCUACAACAGGUCUCAGGCAUUACGCCUCCUCACUACAUCGCUUCACUAGCUCAGCGAGCAUCCUUCAAAUGGCAGGCAAAACCCUACGACGGGUCUCAGGUAUCACGCCUCUUCACUACAUCGCUUCACUAGCUCAAAGAGCGUCCUUCGAAGCCCUACAACGGGUCUCAGGUAUCACGCCUCCUCACUACAUUCUUUCACUAGCUCGGCGAGCGCCCUUUAAAUGGCAGGCAAAGCCCUACAACAGGUCUCAGG